AGGCCUAACACAUGCAAGUCGAACGGUAACAGGAAACAGCUUGCUGUUUCGCUGACGAGUGGCGGACGGGUGAGUAAUGUCUGGGAAACUGCCCGAUGGAGGGGGAUAACUACUGGAAACGGUAGCUAAUACCGCAUAACGUCGCAAGACCAAAGAGGGGGACCUUCGGGCCUCUUGCCAUCGGAUGUGCCCAGAUGGGAUUAGCUAGUAGGUGGGGUAACGGCUCACCUAGGCGACGAUCCCUAGCUGGUCUGAGAGGAUGACCAGCCACACUGGAACUGAGACACGGUC
rnacentral:rRNA from 1 species